rnacentral:rRNA from 1 species
GACGUAGGGCGCGAGCGUUGUCCGGAUUUAUUGGGCGAAAAGAGUUCGUAGGCGGCUCGUUGCGUCGGCUGUGAAAGCCCGCAGCUCAACUGUGGGCUUGCAGCUGAUACGGGCGGGCUGGGAUUCGGUAGGGGAGACUGGAAUUCCUGGUGUAGCGGUGAAAUGCGCAGAUAUCAGGAGGAACACCGGUGGCGAAGGCGGGUCUCUGGGCCGAUAUCGACGCUGAGGAGCGAAAGCCAGGGGAGCAAACGGG